UUGAACGCUGGCGGCAGGCCUAACACAUGCAAGUCGAGCGGAUGAAGGGAGCUUGCUCCUGGAUUCAGCGGCGGACGGGUGAGUAAUGCCUAGGAAUCUGCCUGGUAGUGGGGGAUAACGUCCGGAAACGGGCGCUAAUACCGCAUACGUCCUGAGGGAGAAAGUGGGGGAUCUUCGGACCUCACGCUAUCAGAUGAGCCUAGGUCGGAUUAGCUAGUUGGUGGGGUAAAGGCCUACCAAGGCGACGAUCCGUAACUGGUCUGAGAGGAUGAUCAGUCACACUGGAACUGAGACACGGUCCAGACUCCUACGGGAGGCAGCAGUGGGGAAUAUUGGACAAUGGGCGAAAGCCUGAUCCAGCCAUGCCGCGUGUGUGAAGAAGGUCUUCGGAUUGUAAAGCACUUUAAGUUGGGAGGAAGGGCAGUAAGUUAAUACCUUGCUGUUUUGACGUUACCAACAGAAUAAGCACCGGCUAGCUUCGUG
rnacentral:rRNA from 1 species